CUACGGGGGGCAGCAGUGAGGAAUAUUGCACAAUGGGGGGAACCCUGAUGCAGCAACGCCGCGUGGAGGAUGACGCAUUUCGGUGUGUAAACUCCUUUUAUAUGUCAAGAAAAUGACGGUAGCAUAUGAAUAAGCACCGGCUAACUCCGUGCCAGCAGCCGCGGUAAUACGGAGGGUGCAAGCGUUACUCGGAAUCACUGGGCGUAAAGGACGCGUAGGCGGGUUGGAAAGUCGGGUGUGAAAUCCUACAGCUUAACUGUAGAACUGCACUUGAAACUUCUAAUCUAGAGUAUGGGAGGGGGAGAUGGAAUUAGUGGUGUAGGGGUAAAAUCCGUAGAUAUCAUUAGGAAUACCUAAAGCGAAGGCGAUCUCCUGGAACAUUACUGACGCUAAGGCGUGAAAGUGUGGGGAGCAAACAGGAUUAGAUACCCCUGUAGUC
rnacentral:rRNA from 1 species